rnacentral:rRNA from 1 species
AGAGUUUGAUCAUGGCUCGACGGACGAACGCUGGGCGGUGUGCUUCACACAUGCAAGUCGAACGAGGUAGCAAUACCUAGUGGCGGACGGGUGAGUAACGCGUGGGAAUCUGCCUUUAGAUGGGGGAUAACGGGUCGAAAGACUCGCUAAUACCGCAUAUGACGAAAGUUGAAAAGGAGUAAAUCCGUCGUAAAGAUGAGCCCGCGUCCGAUUAGCUAGUUGGUAGAGUAAAAAGCCUACCAAGGCGACGAUCGGUAGCUGGUCUGAGAGGAUGAUCAGCCACAAUGGGACUGAGACACGGCCCAUACUCCUACGGGAGGCAGCAGUGGGGAAUUUUACGCAAUGGGCCGAAAGCCUGACGUAGCGACACCGCGUGAGCGAAGAAGCCCCUUGGGGUGUAAAAGCUCUGUCAGCUGGAACGAAAAAAAUGACGGUACCAGCAGAGGAAGCAUCGGCUAACUACGUG